GACGAACGCUGGCGGUGUGCUUCACACAUGCAAGUCGAACGAGGUAGCAAUACCUAGUGGCGGACGGGUGAGUAACGCGUGGGAAUCUGCCUUUAGAUGGGGGAUAACGGGUCGAAAGACUCGCUAAUACCGCAUAUGACGAAAGUUGAAAGGAGUAAUCCGUCUAAAGAUGAGCCCGCGUCCGAUUAGCUAGUUGGUAGAGUAAAAGCCUACCAAGGCGACGAUCGGUAGCUGGUCUGAGAGGAUGAUCAGCCACAAUGGGAC
rnacentral:rRNA from 1 species